GACGGAGGAUGCAAGUGUUAUCCGGAAUCACUGGGCGUAAAGCGUCUGUAGGUGGUUUAAUAAGUCAACUGUUAAAUCUUGAGGCUCAACCUCAAAAUCGCAGUCGAAACUAUUAGGCUAGAGUAUAGUAGGGGUAAAGGGAAUUUCCAGUGUAGCGGUGAAAUGCGUAGAGAUUGGGAAGAACACCCGUGGCGAAAGCGCUCUGCUGGACUGCAACUGACAUUGAGGGACGAAAGCUAGGGGAGCGAAUGGG
rnacentral:rRNA from 1 species